rnacentral:rRNA from 1 species
AUGAACGCUGGCGGCGUGCCUAAUACAUGCAAGUCGAGCGAACAGACGAGGAGCUUGCUCCUCUGACGUUAGCGGCGGACGGGUGAGUAACACGUGGAUAACCUACCUAUAAGACUGGGAUAACUUCGGGAAACCGGAGCUAAUACCGGAUAAUAUAUUGAACCGCAUGGUUCAAUAGUGAAAGACGGUUUUGCUGUCACUUAUAGAUGGAUCCGCGCCGCAUUAGCUAGUUGGUAAGGUAACGGCUUACCAAGGCAACGAUGCGUAGCCGACCUGAGAGGGUGAUCGGCCACACUGGAACUGAGACACGGUCCAGACUCCUACGGGAGGCAGCAGUAGGGAAUCUUCCGCAAUGGGCGAAAGCCUGACGGAGCAACGCCGCGUGAGUGAUGAAGGUCUUCGGAUCGUAAAACUCUGUUAUUAGGGAAGAACAAGUGUGUAAGUAACUAUGCACGUCUUGACGGUACCUAAUCAGAAAGCCACGGCUAACUACGUG